rnacentral:misc_RNA from 1 species
CCAAAAAAAAAAAAAAAAAAUCUACAGCAACAACAAGUAAAGCCCACAUUGGUUCCCAGCCUGUGACCAUGAAUGUAAUGUCUAUGAACCUGAUUUGCAGCAGGUCUGUCAAUUGUAUCCACAACAUCCUGCUCUUUCUGACCCUGUUUAGCUAAAAACUCGUAUCAUUACACUAUAUAUUUUGUUUUCUUGACCUUGGUCAAAUGAUGUGAUCCAAACAUCUAGGUUAGGCCCAAGAAAUUCUGUCGUAGUCUGUUUUUGGCAUGGGAGCCUAGCUUGACCCAUAUGAUGAACAUGUCUGACUUUAUUUAAUUGCCUCAGUGACCAUAGCUAUUUGGCUUGUAUAUUUUUCCUUCAUGUUGUGCCCAAAAGGCAACCUUGAUCAUCUGAAGCUAUCAUAGCAAAACCAACGUCAUGGGUGACCCUUAGGUGUGUAGAGUUGACAUUUAUAUUGACAGAUGCUGCUGUAUGGCAUUUUUCCUUCUUAUUUGUUAGUCUGGAUUAUGGUGUGCACAAUGAGGAUGCUGUUUGACUAUUGGUUUUGAAGUUUUUGUAGAGGGGACAAUUUAAGUGGCUUAGGAUGUAUCUGUUUUGUUUGUUGUUAAUGUUAUGGAGGGAAUGGACUAGAAGAGUAUCCAAUGGAGCAGAGCUAUGGAAUCAUCAUAUUAAAAUGAUUUUCUUGAAUAGCUUUCAUCCUAGUUAUUGGCUUUAGCUAUUUCAAGAUGGUCAAUAUCAUUCUUUGGGGCUUUUGCAUAUGAUCUCAUUUAUGUCUUCUUUUCCUAUUUUGAUGCAAUUUUUGUACAUAACUUUUGUUUUUGCUUGCACUGCCAUUUUGGUGUUUAAAUUUACAUUAUUUAUUAGAAAAAAAAAA